UACAGAGGUCUCAAGCGUUGUUCGGAUUCAUUGGGCGUAAAGGGUGCGUAGGCGGCGAGGUAAGUCGGAUGUGAAAUCCCGGGGCUCAACCCUGGAACUGCAUUCGAUACUGCCUUGCUCGAGGACUCGAGAGGAGAUUGGAAUUCACGGUGUAGCAGUGAAAUGCGUAGAUAUCGUGAGGAAGACCAGUGGCGAAGGCGGAUCUCUGGAGAGUUCCUGACGCUGAGGCACGAAGGCCAGGGGAGCAAACGGG
rnacentral:rRNA from 1 species